GGCUCUGUUUAGAUAAUGCCGAGGGGAGAGAGAAAGAGUUCGAGUGGCGGAGCAGAGGAGGCAAUUCCUUCUGUUCAUGUCGAUUCCGAGAUAUUCCACCGCUCGAUCUUGAUUUCUCUUCCCUUUCUCUUUGAUCCCUGGCUGCCGCGGUCGGUUGUUCUUGUCUCUCGCCCUCCCCGGUAUGAUUUUGCUUGUGUUGUGGCUGUGUAGCUUCAAAAUCUAGGAUGAGUUUCUUGUUUGGAUCCGUGGCAGGUGCAUGUUGCGGCCAUGUUGUAGUCCGCCAUUUUGCUCCCCUUCUACUUGCCUGAGAUGGGUGAUUUGUUCUGUAAGUCAUCGGGUGUUCUAGGUCAUCUGGUCGUUGUGGUCGUUUUCACCCCUGCUGAUUUGUUUCCUCUGCUGUAGAUGUAGAGGUAGGCGAAGUUGUAGUUGUAGUGGUGGAUUCCCCUGUCCAUUUUAUUUCUGCAGGCCUGGGUGUCUAUUCCGCCUGCAUUUUUAUCGGUAGAUGUAGUUGUAUAUGGCUUGGCCUGGGAUUCUGCUGGCUUAUGCAAUGUGGAUGUAGUAGCUAAUUUGUGUAUCCUUCCUCUGAAUUUGUUUGCCCUUCCUAGUUUGAUUUUGGCCCGGCCCUUUGUGAUGUAGAUGUAGGUGCUAUUUGUUUAAGUUUCCUGCUCUAUUAUGGUUUCUGAAUUGUUGGCUCCUUAUGUGUCUUACCUGCACAUGUUUGCUCUUGUAGUUUCUGAAUCCCUCAUGAAUUUUUCUUGUUAGAUGUAGGUGUUCAGUUUCCCUGGUUCCUGAAUCUCAAUGAAUUAGUGUGUACUAGGCCUGCAGUGCUGAUGUAGUGUUAGUCCAUGGAUUUUUCUUAUUUUUGUCAGUGCAAUAUACCUCAGAAUUACAGUGUAAUGUAUCCCAUAAUUGGAGUGUGAUCCCCAUGCUUCUUUAUUCUAAUUACAGUGUAAUGUACCCUAAAAUUAUAGUGUAUUCUAGCCCAGAUGGCACUGUAUAUGCCUACAAUUGCAUUUUCGUUUACUAACCCCAGAUUUACAGUGUAAUAUACCCCAGAUUUUCACUGUAUUUUGUAUGCUUCAGGACUGUAAUUAUUGCAUGGUUCCCAGUUUUACACUGUAAUUUGCAUGGUACAGCACUGUAAUUGUUGUAGGGCUUUCAGUUUUUGUCAGAUAGAUUACUUUCAAAUGUUUCAUCACUGUAAUAUACCCUAGAUUUUCUCUGUAAUUUAUAUGCUUCAGAACUGUAAUUGUUAUAUGCUUCAGAUAGAUUACAUUGGCUUCUUCGUCUGGGCUUACACUGUAGUAUGCCAUAGUUUUACACUAUAAUUUGUAUGGUUCGACAUUGUAUUUGUUGUAGGUAUUUGCGAGGUAGAUUACAGUGGAUUUUACCUUUGAAUUGGAGGGCUUACACUGUAAUUUACUGCAGAUUUACACUGUAAUUUGAAUGCUUCAACAUUGUAAUUGUUGUACGGCUUACAACGUAUUUGUCACAGUUGAUUUACCUCUGAUUUUGCUGUGUAAUUAGCAUGCUUUUAGGACUGCAAUUCAUGUAUUUUCUUGCUUUUUUAUUUUCUUCUUUUCUUGUGCUAGUGUGUCUCCGUUGCAGUAGUAUUGAGCAGAGGUCCUGUUUUAGGUUGAUGAUUGUUUUUGUGUUCUUUCUAGAUUUGUCUAGUAAAUAGUGUUACAUUAGCUGUUCAUGUGUAUUCUUUAAUGAAGUGUAUGGAGAUUUUGUUCUACUAUUUUACUUCUUUUCUUUUUCCUCCUUCAUGUAUUCUGUUUAUAUGUUUUACUUUAAUGAGUAGGCUACAGAAAGUCUCUCAUCUGGACGUUUGGUUAGUAUCAUCUCUUGACAAUGCAGAUUCUGUGGGUGAACCUAUUGUGCCUAACGACUUUGCGGAAGAUGGUUCUUAUCCUAUGUCUACGGAACUAUCUGGUGAUGAAGGAGGGUUUGACAAAUCUCUUUUGAAGUUCUAUUUGAAUCAAGUGUGUUUUCCUUUUCUUGUACUAUUUUGAUUUUGUUUUGUGUAUUUUCUUUGGGUGGCCCUUGUGUUUUUGUCAUUUCAGAACGUAAAAUGCUUGAAAGGAAAUUAUCAUCUGCUUCCAUGUUCAUAGGCCCAUCUCCUGAGUGUACCUGCAAGCAAAAGGGCAAUUUGUUUUCUAUAGUUGUGCUUUUCUCAGAUUGGUAGCUCUGUGGUAUUUGAAUUUUGCUUUUACUGAAUAUAAUAUCGGAAUGUAGAAGUGCGGUGAUAGAAAAUGUGUCCUGCGACAUAUUUGUUGUGAGCUUUUAUUAUUAUUUAUGUAUUUAGAAUGUUCCUAUAGUGUCUUUCAACAUAUUCUGAAACAAAUGUGUAACUCACAUUUAGAAUGAGUUCUUCCUGAGACAAUCUCAAUAGAUCAUCUUCAGUUGCUGUCUUUAUCAUGCUCCUCAUCUGGCAUAUUUGAACAAAAAAUGCCAGUAUCAACAUAAUAUUGAGCAACAAACCGUUUAGAUAUAGAUGAAUUUUGCUGGGUACUUAAACAGUUGUACUUUAUGUAUUUUUGCUUCCAAUAGUUGGGGUAUUCCAAGUGUAUCCUCGGAACUAACACUGUAAAUUAUAGUGAAGUAGCUCUGAAGUUUUAUUGUAAUUUAUUGGGGUUUUACCGCAUAGCUUCAUCACUGCAAAUCCCUGCAUAAUUUCAUUCUAAUUCCCUGUGUAUUUUUUCUGUAUUCUUCGAGGGUAUUGCACUGUAAGCACUUUCAUCGUAAAGCUUGGGUAUUACAGUGUAAGCCAUGGGUACUUGCUGUGUAAUUACAUUGUAUGUAUAAUGUAUUUUAUAGAGGUUUUACAAUGUAAUUCUUGGUCACUUGCACUGUAAUUACAAGCUUUGGAUUCUUGGGUUUCACACUGUAAUUCCUGCUCAUUUACACUGUAAUUUAGUGUAGUCUCAUCAGUUUUUACAAGUGUAAUUCCUUGUGUGCUUGCAGUGUAAUUACUGUGUAUGUACUAUGUAAUUUAUAGGGGGAUUUACACUGUAAAUCUUGGUCACUUUCAGUGUAACUCUUGGGUAUUUUCAGUGUCAUCCGUUU